CUUUCCCUACAGCCAUCCUCACCUGCUUGACACCCUUGAAUGUUUUUAUUAUUUUGUCCACAGUUCUUGGGGUCCCCAGCCUCUCUCCUGAGCAGGAUUGGAUUUUUUUUUUUUUUUUUUUCAGAAGAAAUCUGGUGCCCAAGAUUGUUUCCCACCUUAAGGAUAAAACCUGUUAAGAAAGGUGUUUUGAAAUGCCCAGAGAAGGCCCUGAUGAAUGGAGAAGAUGGAAUAUGUCCCCUUCAGUUGGAUUCUUGCUCUGAAGUAUUCCUUGAGCCUAUAGUCCAAAGUGUGGCAUUAUAACUGGUGCAGACCGAGUCUGUCUUAAGACUGAAAAGGAGGACCCAGAGACUGGUCAUAGUUUGCCAUCCCCUGCAUUAAACAAAUCUUGAAUGCCUGCUAUGAUGGGUCAGAUCUGAGUAAAUACUAGGAAUACACAGAGAACAAAAGAGAAAAACUGCUGUUCUUGUGAAACUUGGAAGUUGGAGGUAAGCUAUUUAAAAUAAACCUACAAUAAA
rnacentral:lncRNA from 1 species